rnacentral:rRNA from 1 species
UCGGGAAUUUUGGGCAAUGGGCGAAAAGCCUGACCCAGCAACGCCGCGUGAAGGAUGAAGUAUUUCGGUAUGUAAACUUCGUAAGAAUAGGAAGAAUAAAUGACGGUACUAUUUGUAAGGUCCGGCUAACUACGUGCCAGCAGCCGCGGUAAUACGUAGGGACCAAGCGUUGUUCGGAUUUACUGGGCGUAAAGGGCGCGUAGGCGGUGUGUCAAGUCAGUUGUGAAAUCUCCGAGCUUAACUCGGAACGGUCAACUGAUACUGUCACACUAGAGUACAGAAGGGGCAAUCGGAAUUCUUGGUGUAGCGGUGAAAUGCGUAGAUAUCAAGGGGACACCUGAGGCGAAGGCGGGUUGCUGGGCUGAUACUGACGCUG